rnacentral:lncRNA from 1 species
AAAUAUUUUCUUCGUCCACAAAAUUACCCAAAAAUAUUUUUCACUUUUCUUAACGUUUUAUUUAAUUUUAUAUAAUUUUUAUUUUCGUAUUUUUUUAAUAUUAAUAUUUUAUUUUAGUUCUUUAUUCUAACUGGUCCAUUUUAACACACUUUUUUUAUUGAUUUUAUUUUUAUGACUUAAAAUUAUUGUUAGCAUUUGAU